GGCCGGUGCGGUGCCGCGGCGAGUUCUGUGGGAGGUACAGAGAGGAGAUGGCCUUCGCGUCGUUGCUAGUGGCUCCGCUACCUCCCCCGCCUACUGCCGCGGGGGCAUGGCGGCGGCGCGCGAGACCCACUCCUCGGAGAUUCGUCCUGGCGGCUUCUAGCCGAGGCAGCGGCCCGGUCCCGCCGACGUUCGAGCUCCUGCGGGAGCAGCUCCUCCAACUCCACGCCGAAGCCGACCUGACCCAAUCCAAAGCAAAUAACGCUAGGGUACGGCUUGUGCGGUUGACCGAGGCUGCGGAGAAUCUUAAGAAAAGAGCCGCGGUCAGUGUCCGGAUGGGCAAAGAGAAUGAGGCAGUGGACUUACUUGUGCAAAAGAAGAAGUUGACGAAAGCAUUGGAGAACAUAAAAGAGCGCAUUGAGCUGCUUGACAAGCUUUCCACAAAGCUUAGUGAGGCUAUUUCGGUGAAGCAAAAUUUGUUAAUUGAACACACAUUGCAUCCAGGGAUGCCUAAUGGUGAAGACUCCAAUGACGAGAUAAGAGUUUUCUCUGGUGAAGUUGGUGCUGGGGUAGAUGGGACUGAAUCUCUUCCCAAAUCAGUUGAAAAGGGGUCUUUUGUGGUAUAUUCAAACUUGGCUGCCGAAUCUGACAAAAAUGAACCUAAGAUGGCUGAUAGCUUCACAUUUUCCGAGGAUCGGGACCCAACAAGCAGCACAAAGGAUCGUGCUACAUAUGAUGAUUUUGUCCAGCAUAUUGAUUCACAGCUGAAUUCAUUAGAAUGUGAAAUAGAGCAGUACGUCAAUUCCCAAUUAGCAACAGAUGUGGACAUUCAGCAGUCGAUAAAUGGCAAAUGGCACAAAUUGUCAACUGUGUUGAAGCUUAUAACUGAAACUAGAGAAAGGAUUGCGAAGAUUUUGGAUAAUACAGUAAGUGAGACUGGAUCUGAUGGCUUGAGAUGAUGAUAAACCAGAAAAGAUUGAGUUCAUAGUAUCUAGCCAUGUCCCUUUCAAUGCACGGCUUUGCUCAUCGAGCUCAUGUGCACAUGGAGCUUCUUUGAUUGAUGUGAACAUAGAAGGUGAAGAACACACCCGCUGUAAAGUCCGUGCGAACACUAUGUUGGUGUUUUCUCUAGUGGCUGGAGGAUGAUUGGUGGCACUGGAGUUACCUUUGACGUUACUCUCUGGAUGAAGGGAAGUUUCACACCUGUUUGGGUCAUCACAAGAUUUGCUUCCGUCUUUCUUCGUAGAGUGCUUUUGAUCGCGGUGGACUAGUGGAAGCAGAGGCUCUUCCAUGGAAGACAUUUUUGAGCUUGGAUUCAUGAGCUUGCAGCUCUCAGGUACCACUCGAGUUGUUGACAGAUGACCAUGACUUAUCAACCUUCUGAUCUUGCGAGUUGGUUUUCCGCUUUCUGGGAUGAUCCAUCGGAUUUAAGGCAGUGCCAUUGCCAUAUUCUGCAGGACUUUGGUCUGCAACUGGGAUGGGAAUAUUUUUAUUUCUUGUGGCGCUGAGACCUUCUUGUCGGCGAGUGAGGUUCAGCUGCGCUGACUGAAAGCUUCUCGAGCUGAAGAUGUUGAUUAAAGGAAGUUGCUUCUGGAUCAUCUAUGUCUCUUCGAGUGGUAGGUGUCUGUGUUUGGACAGUUAUUAUUCUGGGGAGAAAACUUUUUAGUUUUUGAAAAUUUGCGGAUUUGAACAUAUUCGAAUUUUGAACAUUUUAAAAUUUUAAAUAUUAUUUGGUUUUGAAUAAUUUUUCUUACA